AACGAAAGCUGAGUAGUUCGCUACUCAACCUUCCACCCUUUGAAAACCAAAAUUGUUGUUGCUUUGGCGGGGCGUGACCCCCGGGCCCCGUUGGCUUCGGCUGACGAGCCCCCGCCGGAGGACCCCAAAACUCUAUUUAAACUAUAAAGUCUGAAUUAAAAAAAUUUAAUAGCGAUA
rnacentral:misc_RNA from 1 species